GAUGAACGCUGGCGGCGUGCCUAACACAUGCAAGUCGAGCGAUCUUCUUCGGAAGAGAGCGGCGGACGGGUGAGUAACGCGUGGGUAUCCUGCCCUGUACACACGGAUAACAUACCGAAAGGUAUGCUAAUACGGGAUAAUAUAUGAGAGCCACAUGACUUUUAUAUCAAAGUUUUUGCGGUACAGGAUGGACCCGCGUCUGAUUAGCUAGUUGGUAAGGUAACGGCUUACCAAGGCGACGAUCAGUAGCCGACCUGAGAGGGUGAUCGGCCACACUGGAACUGGGACACGGUCCAGACUCCCACGGGAGGCAGCAGUGGGGAAUAUUGCACAGUGGGCGAAAGCCUGAUGCAGCAACGCCGCGUGAGCGAUGAAGGCCUUCGGGUCGUAAAGCUCUGUCCUCAAGGAAGAUAAUGACGGUACUUGAGGAGGAAGCCCCGGCUAACUACGUGCCAGCAGCCGCGGUAA
rnacentral:rRNA from 1 species